GACGUGUUAGCUUAAUUGGUUAAGCAUUGUGUUUCGGCCACAAGGAUUGUAAGUUCAAGUCUUGCACACGUCU
rnacentral:tRNA from 1 species